rnacentral:lncRNA from 1 species
AAAAUAAUACAAAAAAAUAAAAUAGAAAAAAAAGGCUACGAUUGAUGUGACGGGACAUUGGAGGAGGAGGUGCCAGAGGCGGCACCAGUUGUGCCUUUGGCAGAGGCGGCACUGGCCCUAUAAUGGUUCCUAUUCGGCUGGUGGUGGGGGGAAGAGAAGGAGAGGGAAAGGAGAAGAAAGAAAAAGAAAGAAAAAGAAAGGAAAGGAGAGGGAAGAAAGAAAAAGAAUGAAAGAAAAGGAAAGAAGAAGAAAAAAGAAAGAAAAAGAAGGAAAGAAAAGGAAAGGAGAAGAAGAAGAGGGAAGGAAAAGAAAGAAAGAAAGGUAAUUUUUGUUUUAUUAAUUUAAAUUUUUUGUAAUAUUUGUGUAAAAAAUUUAUGUUAUGUACAUUGUAUGUGUUUUAUUAUUUUAUUUAGCAUAUAUAUAUUAUGAAAUUUAUUUAGCAUGAAAAAAUUCAUAUUAUGUACAUUGUAUGUUGAUUAGGAAUUUUUUUUAUGAAAUUU